rnacentral:rRNA from 1 species
GAAUUUUGGACAAUGGGGGCAACCAUGAUCCAGCCAUCCCGCGUGUGCGAUGAAGGCCUUCGGGUUGUAAAGCACUUUUGGCAGGGAAGAAAAGGCUCUGGCUAAUACCUGGAGCUGCUGACGGUACCUGCAGAAUAAGCACUGGCUAACUACGUGCCAGCAGCCUCGGUAAUACGUAGGGUGCAAACGUAAACCGGAAUUACUGGGCGUAAAGCGUGCGCAGGCGGUUCGGGCAGAAGGAUGUGGAAUCCCAGGGCUUAACCUUGGAACUGCAUUCUUAACUGCCGGGCUAGAGUAUGUCAGAGGGGGGUAGAAUUCCGCGUGUAGCAGUGAAAUGCGUAGAGAUGCGGAGGAAUACCGAUGGCGAAGGCAGCCCCCUGGGAUAAUACUGACGCUCAUGCACGAAAGCGUGGGGAGCAAAC